rnacentral:rRNA from 1 species
CCUACGGGUUGCAGCAGUGGGGAAUAUUGCACAAUGGGCGCAAGCCUGAUGCAGCCAUGCCGCGUGUAUGAAGAAGGCCUUCGGGUUGUAAAGUACUUUCAGUCGGGAGGAAGGUGGUGAGCUUAAUACGCUCAUCAAUUGACGUUACCCGCAGAAGAAGCACUGGCUAACUCCGUGCCAGCAGCCGCGGUAAUACGGAGGGUGCAAGCGUUAAUCGGAAUUACUGGGCGUAAAGCGCACGCAGGCGGUCUGUCAAGUCGGAUGUGAAAUCCCCGGGCUCAACCUGGGAACUGCAUUCGAAACUGGCAGGCUAGAGUCUUGUAGAGGGGGGUAGAAUUCCAGGUGUAGCGGUGAAAUGCGUAGAGAUCUGGAGGAAUACCGGUGGCGAAGGCGGCCCCCUGGACAAAGACUGACGCUCAGGUGCGAAAGCGUGGGGAGCGAACAGGAUUAGAUACCCUCGUAGUC